AGUUAAUAAAACUAGUCAAGUAGUUAGAAAGAUACGCGUUUUAUAUCUUUUCAUCGCUUUCAUCCAAAAUUACAGUAUUGCGUUGUAGAUACCUGCGUCUUGGACUUGAUGAAACAGAGAUAUACAUUAUAUUAGGCGUACAUAUGCGAAAAAGACACAUCGAAAAUCUCAUGAAACUCGUCUCUGAGGUUUAUUGACGAGACCAAUUAAUGUUUCAAGAAGCUGCACAUAAAUACGGUAAUGGCGCCUAAAACAACACUGUUAAUAAGCCUUAUGAUCGCAAGUUUGGUCACCUUGACACCUCGUGCUGAGGUUAUCGAGAACCUGUGCUUUCCUUGUUCAUGCGUUUCACAGAAUGAGCAAGGGUUGUACAAAGUGAACUGCAGAUUAAACCCUCUGCUUAACGGUAGUUUGCCAGAUUUCAAACAUAUUUCCGAAGCUCAAGUGUACUUACUUGACAUGUCAAACACCAGAUUGGAUAAUUUGACAACACGAGCAAAGAAGCCUUUUGCAGAUUACAACAAUUUACAAGAAUUGAAUAUGGAAAAUACUUCUAUCAAUUCCAUACAAAAUAACAGUGCAACAAUUGAAAGCCAAACAUUUUCAGGUCUGGAUUUUCACAUGUUCGUUUCGGAGAAGAAUUUCAAAAUAUGACGAAUCUGAAAAUUAUUCGUAUAUCUGGUGACCUCAUUUGGCCAGAUUGGCAAAACCAAGAUUUCUGUAGCAUUAAUAAUAUCACAGAUUACACUUGGGCAAACUUGAGACAUGUCUCAAAUUUAUCAAUCAUUAGAUGCGGAGUAUCUUAUAUAAGUACAAACGCCUUCAAAGGUAUGACGGGAAUACGUAUGCUUUAUUUGUCUAUGAAUUUCGCGUUGGGAUUGGAAACUCCUGUCAACAGUUUUAACAGUUUACCUUCCGAAAUUGAAAUGCUUAUCUUAGACAGCGUUGUUGACAAUCAUGCAAUUGACUGCCCCAUCGAAAUCACAAAAGAAAUGGCAGCAUCGAUCAGUCAUACCGGUUUGAAGAUGAUUUCAUUAGAUAGAAACACAAUAAACAAAAUCGAUCCUGAUGCGUUUUCGGUACUGCUGCAGAGUCUUCAACAAAUACGAAUAAGGGCAAACAAAUUUGAACUUGGAUGGUACAUGUUGUAUGCAUAUCAACUUACAAAUGUUAAAACGAUUGAAGCAUCCUAUGCCCAUAUGGGACUUCAGUGCGAAGCUUUCUCUAAUGUUGAACACCCGUCUUUACCAAGCGUUGAGAUAAUAAACACAGCAGUAAAGAAGAUUUCUUCCGGAACCGUUUAUCAGUAAGCGAACAUAACCUGUCUGGUCGGGGAUCCAACAUAAACUCAGAAUGUCAGAAACCACGACCGUACAUUCCGCCAGUCACUAUAACUGCGUUCCUUCCACCAAAGUUAGAAUAUAUCGAUGUGAGUCACUGUAAAAUUGCAUUCUCUAUUUACGGUUUUUAUAUAGAUUCAAACAAUACGAUUAAAACCGUCAAUGGAUCAGGCGCUCUUUUUUGUGCUGGGACAGACCUAUUCAUGGAUUAAAAAGUGUUGACCUCAGCAACAAUUUUUGUUCCACUGUACAUGAACAAUUCUUUAGUAAUUUUGCAAAAUUAAAGCGUUUAUACCUUCAACGGAAUUAUCUUCAAUUUGUUGUUGAAGACAAGAUGAUAUUUCAUUCGAACUUCGAUCUUGAAUAUGUUGAUUUUUCGAUUAACAAAAUAAAUGCCAUUACUUUGAAACUUUUUCAAAAUCAAAACAAAAUGAAAUGACUAAAUUUAUCUACUAACAAUUUAAUUGGAUUCAAUGUACCUAUAUUUCACAUGCAAUUCUUAAAAGUACUAGACCUUACGGAAAAUCACAUAAGUGCCAGUUACGAUUUGAUCUCGAAGCCAUUGUCUCAUCCAGGAACAAUGAACCUUUAAAAGUGGAUUUGACAAACAAUAUGCUUUCAUGCUCGUGUGACAACUUAGCGUUUGAGUGGAUCCUUGAUGAUAUGCAUCCAUCACCAUCACUUCUAGAUGUUCAGAUAUCAAACUGUUAUUACACACAUAAUGUUUCAUCGGGAUAUCCUUUUUUUCUUUUUUUUAUUCAAUACAAUACAUACAAUGUAUACAUGUAUAUGAUCAUACAACAUAGUGAUUGUACAAAGCAAUAAAUUCAGACAUGUUAUACAAGAUAUGUCAUUCGUACACUCCCCUGAUUAUUUCAUUGGCUGCAAUCCUGUUUGUUAUGUUCAACAUAAUACUUGCUUCAAUUAUUCAUCGAUUUAGAUGGAAGAUACGGUACUGGUACACGUUGGAUACAAUAUAGAGAUAAACAUAAAGGUUAUUCAACGACUGAAAGUUCCUUGCGAAAGUCAAUAAUCAAGUAUGAUUUAUAUCUCGCCUAUGAGGAAGACGUCAAAGCAUUUGUUUUGGAUACACUUAAACCGAAACUUGUGGAGCUGAUAUACACAGUGUUCAUGCAUGAUUAUAUUCUAGAUGGAUUACCGCUGUACAACGUUAUUACAAAAUCGAUCAAUGCCAGCCGAGUUGUGGUUUUCGUCCUUUUAAAUGGUCCAAGGGGCAGUUUGGAGUGGAAAAUAGCUGCGCACAUAACAAAUGAGGAAUCAAAUCACAGACGAAACCCUAUGUAUGUAGCUUUGUUCCACAAUUCCCACUCAACUGUUGGCCUCCCAGAAGAAUUUCAACUUCUGCGACGCGAUGCGUCUAUUGACUAUCCUGUUAAUGGCAGCGAACAAGAAAUCACGGCUUCUUAAGAAGAUUUCAUCACUAAAAUGAAUACCAUAUAUUAAAGUUUUGGAAUGGGAAGUUUAUAAUAUGCCGAUGAUAAUGUUUGGUAUUGAUAGUUUAUAACAUAUGUUAAAUGUAAUAAAACAAUGUGCGCGUAAAUUGAGCAAUACUAAAUGCAAAUAUAU